GACGAACGCUGGCGGCGUGCUUAACACAUGCAAGUCGAACGGAAAGGCCCUGCUUUUGUGGGGUGCUCGAGUGGCGAACGGGUGAGUAACACGUGAGUAACCUGCCCUUGACUUUGGGAUAACUUCAGGAAACUGGGGCUACUACCGGAUAGGAGCUCCUGCUGCAUGGUGGGGGUUGGAAAGUUUCGGCGGUUGGGGAUGGAUUCGCGGCUUAUCAGCUUGUUGGUGGGGUAGUGGCUUACCAAGGCAUUGACGGGUAGCCGGCCUGAGAGGGUGACCGGCCACAUUGGGACUGAGAGACGGCCCAGACUCCAACGGGAGGCAGUAGUGGGGAAUAUUGCACAAUGGGAGGAAGCCUGAUGCAGAAACGCCGCGUGCGGGAUGACGGCCUGCGGGUUGUAAACCGCUUUAGCCUGUGACGAAGCGUGAGUGACGGUAAUGGGUAAAGAAGCACCGGCUAACUACGUG
rnacentral:rRNA from 1 species